rnacentral:rRNA from 1 species
AUUGAACGCUGGCGGCAUGCCUUACACAUGCAAGUCGAACGGUAACAGGUCUUCGGAUGCUGACGAGUGGCGAACGGGUGAGUAAUACAUCGGAACGUGCCUAGUAGUGGGGGAUAACUACUCGAAAGAGUGGCUAAUACCGCAUGAGAUCUACGGAUGAAAGCAGGGGAUCGCAAGACCUUGUGCUACUAGAGCGGCCGAUGGCAGAUUAGGUAGUUGGUGGGGUAAAGGCUCACCAAGCCAACGAUCUGUAGCUGGUCUGAGAGGACGACCAGCCACACUGGGACUGAGACACGGCCCAGACUCCUACGGGAGGCAGCAGUGGGGAAUUUUGGACAAUGGGCGCAAGCCUGAUCCAGCAAUGCCGCGUGCAGGAAGAAGGCCUUCGGGUUGUAAACUGCUUUUGUACGGAGCGAAAAGGCUCCCUCUAAUACAGGGGGCUCAUGACGGUACCGUAAGAAUAAGCACCGGCUAACCACGUGCCAGCCGCCGCUGUAACAC